UGGGGUCGAGAUGGGGGGGUCGAGGUUGGGAUCGAACGAUAGGAGUAGGUUUUUUAAAUGACCAAACUCUUGCUGAAGCAAGGCCCUGUAUUCAUACAAUACUCUAAAUGCACAGUUUGCUUUAGUUUUGUUUUGUAUUUGAUCAAGUUUCACUUGAUUUUGCACUUAUUGUUUUCAUUCCAUAUUCCUAUUGGCACACACAGUAUUGGACUAACUUUGAUUGGCUGAAACAGGUGUCAUUCACACAGAAAUCACACUCUUUCUCCAUAAUCUGCAUAGUAACAGUUAGAGACCGCCGCCACACACUGAACACACUAUAACAGGCUUUCAUAUGUUAUACAGUUAAAAAAACAAUUAUCAGUAAAUAUAACUGUUGAACUUCAACCCUCUGGAGGCAUUGUAUUUCAAGGCUGGGGGGGUCACCAAGGCCACGGACAUCAUUCCACAUCUCUCCCUCCAGCCCCGUAGCGGAUCACAAACAGAACAGGACCACAGGAAACACAGGAGUGGUUCUAUCCUUGUCCCCUAAACACAGGGUAGCCUAGUGGUUAGAGUGUUGGACUUGUAUCCUUGUCCCCUAAACACAGGGUAGCCUAGUGGUUAGAGUGUUGGACUUGUAUCCUUGUCGCCUAAACACAGGGUAGCCUAGUGGUUAGAGUGUUGGACUUGUAUCCUUGUCCCCUAAACACAGAGUAGCCUAGUGGUUAGUGUUGGACUUGUAUCCUUGUCCCCUAAACACAGGGUAGCCUAGUGGUUAGAGUGUUGGACUUGUAUCAUUGUCCCCUAGACACAGGGUAGCCUAGUGGUUAGAGUGUUGGACUUGUAUCCUUGUCCCCUAAACACAGGGUAGCCUAGUGGUUAGAGUGUUGGACUUGUAUCCUUGUCCCCUAAACACAGGGUAGCCUAGUGGUUAGAGUGUUGGACUUGUAUCCUUGUCCCCUAAACACAGGGUAGCCUAGUGGUUAGAGUGUUGGACUUGUACCCUUGUCCCCUAAACACAGGGUAGCCUAGUGGUUAGAGUGUUGGACUUGUAUCAUUGUCCCCUAAACACAGGGUAGCCUAGUGGUUAGAGUGUUGGACUUGUAUCCUUGUCCCCUAAACACAGGGUAGCCUAGUGGUUAGAGUGUUGGACUUGUAUCCUUGUCCCCUAAACACAGGGUAGCCUAGUGGUCAGAGUGUUGGACUUGUAUCCUUGUCCCCUAAACACAGGGUAGCCUAGUGGUUAGAGUGUUGGACUUGUAUCCUUGUCCCCUAGACACAGGGUAGCCUAGUGGUUAGAGUGUUGGACUUGUAUCCUUGUCCCCUAAACACAGGGUAGCCUAGUGGUUAGAGUGUUGGACUUGUAUCCUUGUCGCCUAAACACAGGGUAGCCUAGUGGUUAGAGUGUUGGACUUGUAUCCUUGUCCCCUAAACACAGAGUAGCCUAGUGGUUAGUGUUGGACUUGUAUCCUUGUCCCCUAAACACAGGGUAGCCUAGUGGUUAGAGUGUUGGACUUGUAUCCUGGUCCCCUAAACACAGGGUAGCCUAGUGGUUAGAGUGUUGGACUUGUAUCCUUGUCCCCUAAACACAGAGUAGCCUAGUGGUUAGAGUGUUGGACUUGUAUCCUUGUCCCCUAAACACAGGGUAGCCUAGUGGUUAGAGUGUUGGACUUGUAUCCUUGUCCCCUAAACACAGGGUAGCCUAGUGGUUAGAGUGUUGGACUUGUAUCCUUGUCCCCUAAACACAGGGUAGCCUAGUGGUUAGAGUGUUGGACUUGUAUCCUUGUCCCCUAAACACAGGGUAGCCUAGUGGUUAGAGUGUUGGACUUGUAUCCUUGUCCCCUAAACACAGGGUAGCCUAGUGGUUAGAGUGUUGGACUUGUAUCCUUGUCCCCUAAACACAGGGUAGCCUAGUGGUUAGAGUGUUGGACUUGUAUCCUUGUCCCCUAAACACAGAGUAGCCUAGUGGUUAGAGUGUUGGACUUGUAUCCUUGUCCCCUAAACCACAGGGUAGCCUAGUGGUCAGAGUGUUGGACUUGUAUCCUUGUCCCCUAAACACAGAGUAGCCUAGUGGUUAGAGUGUUGGACUUGUAUCCUUGUCCCCUAAACACAGGGUAGCCUAGUGGUUAGAGUGUUGGACUUGUAUCCUUGUCCCCUAAACACAGGGUAGCCUAGUGGUUAGAGUGUUGGACUUGUAUCCUUGUCCCCUAAACCACAGGGUAGCCUAGUGGUUAGAGUGUUGGACUUGUAUCCUUGUCCCCUAAACACAUAGGACUCGCUGCAUCUGCAGAUUACUGACGAGUCACAUGUGGGCUGUAUUCAUUAAUUAGACACCAAAACAGAAAAAAAAGGGUGUGAAACAAGAAGGGACUACCUGAGCUUGUCCAAUUUGUUUUCCUUUUGCACAGCGUUUUGCUACGGUGUACCCUAAUGAAUACAGCCCUGAUGAACCUCUGACUGACCGGGACAGCUGGUAUUAUGGUGGCUUGGCACCUUGGGUAAAGCAGGAAUAACCUUCUCACUGUCACGCCUGUGCCUCAAAUGGCAUCCUAUUCACUACGUGUAAACACAUUUCGCUGGGUGUGUUUUUUUUCUUUUCUUUCUUCCUUGUCUCACAACGAGUGUUGUUGUCACAACAAGAAAAAGGUGAAAUGAGAGAAGAAGAAAAGGAAAACGUUCAAAUGCUACCGAACUUUUAGAAAUCAUCGGUAUAUCAACAACACACUAUAGGGAUAGGGUGGUAUUUCAGAUGUUGCCCCUGUAGGGAUCAGUCUCAGUACCCCCUCCCUUCCUCUGUGAGUCCAACCUGCCCAUCAACACAGGAUGGCCAUGUCCCAAAUAUUAGUUCUUCAUGUAUUUUAAAAAUACUUUGGGGCGGCCAGGUAGUCUAGUGGUUAGAGUGUAGAGGAGGCAGGGUGGCCUAGUGGUUAGAGUGUAGAGGGGGGCAGGGUAGCCUAGUGGUUAGAGUGUAGAGGAUGGCAGGGUAGCCUAAUGGUUAGAGUGUAGAGGAGGCAGGGUAGCGUAGUGGUUAGAGUGUAGAGGGGGCAGGUAGCCUAGUGGUUAGAGUGUAGAGGGUGGCAGGGUAGCCUAGUGGUUAGAGUGUAGAGGGUGGCAGGGUAGCCUAGUGGUUAGAGUGUAGAGGGUGGCAGGGUAGCCUAGUGGUUAGAGUGUAGAGGGGGCAGGUAGCCUAGUGGUUAGAGUGUAGAGGGGGCAGGGUAGCCUAGUGGUUAGAGUGUAGAGGGGGGCAGGGUAGCCUAGUGGUUAGAGUGUAGAGGGUGGCAGGGUAGCCUAGUGGUUAGAGUGUAGAGGGUGGCAGGGUAGCCUAGUGGUUAGAGUGUAGAGGGGGGCAGGGUAGCCUAGUGGUUAGAGUGUAGGGGCUGCAGGGUAGCCUAGUGGUUAGAGUGUAGAGGUGGCAGGGUAGCCUAGUGGUUAGAGUGUAGAGGUGGCAGGGUAGCCUAGUGGUUAGAGUGUAGAGGGUGGCAGGGUAGCCUAGUGGUUAGAGUGUAGAGGGGGCAGGUAGCCUAGUGGUUAGAGUGUAGGGGCUGCAGGGUAGCCUAGUGGUUAGAGUGUAGAGGUGGCAGGGUAGCCUAGUGGUUAGAGUGUAGAGGGUGGCAGGGUAGCCUAGUGGUUAGAGUGUAGAGGGUGGCAGGGUAGCCUAGUGGUUAGAGUGUAGGGGCUGCAGGGUAGCCUAGUGGUUAGAGUGUAGAGGUGGCAGGGUAGCCUAGUGGUUAGAGUGUAGGGGCUGCAGGGUAGCCUAGUGGUUAGAGUGUAGAGGUGGCAGGGUAGCCUAGUGGUUAGAGUGUAGAGGGUGGCAGGGUAGCCUAGUGGUUAGAGUGUAGGGGCUGCAGGGUAGCCUAGUGGUUAGAGUGUAGAGGGUGGCAGGGUAGCCUAGUGGUUAGAGUGUAGAGGGUGGCAGGGUAGCCUAGUGGUUAGAGUGUAGGGGCUGCAGGGUAGCCUAGUGGUUAGAGUGUAGGGGCUGCAGGGUAGCCUAGUGGUUAGAGUGUAGGGGCUGCAGGGUAGCCUAGUGGUUAGAGUGUAGAGGGUGGCAGGGUAGCCUAGUGGUUAGAGUGUAGAGGGUGGCAGGGUAGCCUAGUGGUUAGAGUGUAGGGACUGCAGGGUAGCCUAGUGGUUAGAGUGUAGAGGGUGGCAGGGUAGCCUAGUGGUUAGAGUGUAGAGGGGGCAGGUAGCCUAGUGGUUAGAGUGUUAGACUAGUAACCAGCAGGUAGCCUAGUGAUUAGAGCGUUAGACUAGUAACCAGCAGGUAGCCUAGUGAUUAGAGGCAGGUAGCCUAGUGAUUAGAGUGUUAGACUAGUAACCAGCAGGUAGCCUAGUGGUUAGAGUGUUGGACUAGUAACCAGCAGGUAGCCUAGUGGUUAGGGUGUUAGACUAGUAACCAGCAGGUAGCCUAGUGAUUAGAGCGUUAGACUAGUAACCAGCAGGUAGCCUAGUGAUUAGAGGCAGGUAGCCUAGUGAUUAGAGUGUUAGACUAGUAACCAGCAGGUAGCCUAGUGAUUAGAGGCAGGUAGCCUAGUGAUUAGAGUGUUAGACUAGUAACCAGCAGGUAGCCUAGUGGUUAGAGUGUUGGACUAGUAACCAAAAGGUUGCUAGAUCAAAUCUCUGAGCUGACAAGGUGAAAACCUGUCAUUCUGCCCCUUGAACAAGGCUGUUAACCCCACUGUUACUAGGCCGUCAUUGUAAUUAAAAAUGUGUUUUUAACUGUUACAUUUAAAAAAAGAAGAGGGGGAGAUUUCUUGAGUUUGGAAAAAAAAAGGCAAAAAAUGUAUUGAUAAUAUGACUAACAACAAAAUGUGUGUAUCAACAAUAUGUCUCAUGUACCCCUCCUUUAAUUCUGGGUUAUUUAAAUCAUUCAACCCAAAACAAAAUAAAGGUGAUGACACUAAUUAUAUCAA